rnacentral:rRNA from 1 species
GAUGAACGCUGGCGGCGUGCCUAAUACAUGCAAGUCGAGCGAAUGGAUUAAGAGCUUGCUCUUAUGAAGUUAGCGGCGGACGGGUGAGUAACACGUGGGUAACCUGCCCAUAAGACUGGGAUAACUCCGGGAAACCGGGGCUAAUACCGGAUAACAUUUUGAACCGCAUGGUUCGAAAUUGAAAGGCGGCUUCGGCUGUCACUUAUGGAUGGACCCGCGUCGCAUUAGCUAGUUGGUGAGGUAACGGCUCACCAAGGCAACGAUGCGUAGCCGACCUGAGAGGGUGAUCGGCCACACUGGGACUGAGACACGGCCCAGACUCCUACGGGAGGCAGCAGUAGGGAACCUUCCGCAACGGACGAAAGUCUGACGGAGCAACGCCGCGUGAGUGAUGAAGGCUUUCGGGUCGUAAAACUCUGUUGUUAGGGAAGAACAAGUGCUAGUUGAAUAAGCUGGCACCUUGACGGUACCUAACCAGAAAGCCACGGCUAACUACGUGCCAGCCGCCGCGGUAG